GGAUUUGGGUGUCCCAGUCCCAAACACAGCAUUUUCAGGCGCAGGGUGGGAUUCUGGGCACUGCCCUGUGCAGGGCCAGGGCUUGGACUCCAUGAUCCUGGUGGGUUCCUUCCACCCAGGAUGUUGAGAUUCUGUGAGAUGGGCUGGGAGACUCCAUCCCCAGAGGCAUUCCAUUGUCCCAGUGUCCUGUUUGGGCCUUCAGCCACACCUGAGUGCCCCCAGGGCCCCUGAUCCGAGCAUCCCUGUGCAUCUUCUCCAAGGAACCUGGCCAGGGAGGAUGUGGGGAGAUAUUUAAUAGUACUGUGAUUUGGGUUUAAGCACUUUUCUCCAUAAGAGCAAAUGGAAGGAUUGUUCCUGUUUGGAUCUCCUGAGUGUUCUGUACAGCCUUGGUAUAAGGUCGAGGAGGGAGCGCAAUUCCAGGGGAAACAUGAGGUCAGUGAAGCUUUAGCUCCAGCCUGGCAAUUAAUUUCACAGAAUCCCAGGGUGGUUUGGGUUGGAAGGGGCCUUAAAGCUCAUCUCAUCCCACCCCCUGCCAUGGGCAGGGACACCUUCACUAGCCCAGGGUGUUUCAACCUGGCCUUGAACACUUCCAGGGAUCCAGGGGCAGCCACAGCUUCCCUGGGCACCCUGUGCCAGGGCCUCCCCACCCUCCCAGGGAACAACUCCUUCCCAAAAUCCAUCCUUAUUGCUGUCAGAGUGGCUGAGUUCCCUGUGUCUGUGUGUACAGGUGCCCCCGAGGCACAUGGAUUUCAGCACAGCUCCAUGGAUGCAGACAUCCCAGAACAAAGGAGCAGGCCCUGAGUAUUUUGGGGAAGGGAGAUAAUAAUAAGCCAGUUUGGCACAGCUCUUUCCUAAGCCUGGCAAGUCAACCCUGACAAUGUAAACAGCUCUUUCAGGGUGAAAUGUUGCUUUUCAGUUUCACAAAUCUGCUGAUCGAGCUCUCUGCCAAGGCGUGGUGUGAAUGAGGUGCCCUAUAUUUUCUUGCUCGCCUGUCCUGCCCUUUUCCUGCAAAAAGAAGAUAACUGCUGGCUCUGCAGGGCUGGCCUGCAGCCUGGGCAGCAGCAGUGGUGCUGUGCUCCGCUGUCAGAGCUGCCCUGAGCGCCGAGGUGCGGGAGCAUCUCCAGAUCCCUCCUGCCAGGAUCCUCCAGGACUUGCGCAAGCUCUUCUGGGGAGGAGGGGGAGCGGGGCAGUUUCCUUCCCGGGGUUAAUGUCAGCCCUCAGGAAUCCUCUGCCCCCUUCAGCUUUGCCCUGCACACCCCAGCUCCCAGCUCUGAAGUUUGGGAAUGCCGACUUCUAACUCCUGACCUCCCACACGACUCCAAUUCCAAGAAACGAUGCCCUAAAUCUGCUGGCAGUAACAGCUCGCUGAUUCCUCCAGCAUGGCUUGUUAAAAGAUCUGAAUCUACUAAUAGGAAUUGGCCUGAUAAAAGGGAUUUUUUUUCUAUUUUUUUUUUUUUUUUACCUCCUCACUUAGCGGCUACACUCAGCCCGUGGAAUCUAGAAAUUAAAUUGGCUUUUUGUCAAGCCUCUUCUAUGCAACAGCAGUGGGACCCCUGCAGUGCAGUGCAGUGUUUCCAAUUAAAUUUUGGGGUAUGUUGCUAAUUUUUGGCACAAGGAGAGAAGCAGGCCAGGCAAAUGGCAGGUGGCAGGCUGUUUUCAUAUUUCACCAGGAGCAUGGGGGAAGGGAGAGGGGAGCCGAGCUCUCUGCCAAUAAAUGUGACCUUGCAGAGCGUGAGCAGAAGAGUUUUGGCACGUGGCGGAGGAUGGAGGGCUGGGCAGGCACGACUGAGCCAGUUUACAUCCCCUCCUGCUGGGAACAAGCACGAGGGAAGCAGGGCUAGAAUAAACACUGCUCCAGCAGCCACAGCCUGCAGGUCUGGAUCUGGGCACCACUGGGUGGUGUGUGGCUGCACCCAUGCUGGUCUGUCACACUGAGGACAGCGGUGUCACCGUGCUCUGCCUCUCUGCCACUCCGCGCCGCGCUCCUCUGCCCCCAGCACAAAACCAAAGCUGGCUUUGGUUCAUUCAUUUGUUCCUAGCACAGCUAAUGCAUUCAGCAUGGCACCAGCUCUGCAGGGCCUGGGUGGUUUCUCAGAGCUGUUGCACAAUCUGCAGCUCUGUGAGUGGAGUGAGGGCAGCAACAACCAGAAGCUGCUUCCCGGGAUCUGCAUCUGUCUCAGGGUGGCUUUGCCCACCAGGACAGAGGUCUGGAGGUGUGAACUUUAGGGGUCAGAUCACAGAAUGGUUUGGUUGGAAGGGAUCUUAAAGCUCAUCUCAUCCCACAUCCUGCCAUGGGCAGGGACACCUUCCACUAUCCCAGGUGGCUCCAAGCCCCAAUGUCCAGCCUGGACUUGGACACUGCCAGGGAUCCUGGGGCAGCCACAGCUGCUCUGGGCACCCUGUGCCAGGGCCUCCCCACCCUCACAGGGAACAAUUCCUUCCCAAUAUCCCAUCUAAUACUUGCCUUCCUUCAGCUCAAACCCAUUUGCCCUCGUGCCCAGAAAUGCUGCUAUGUUUGACAAGAGCAGUCAGAGCUGGUCUGUAUUCACAUGGACCAGGAGCAGAGCAUCCACCUCGACCCAAGGGUAUGUCAGCCAGGAGAGCUUUGGCGAAAAAAGCCCCAGGGUUCAGCAUGGAGGCCUCUAAACGCUCAAUUUAGACAUCAAAUCCAAAAAUAAAAUGGUGAACGCUGUGAAAGAGGGUUGUGAGAGAUCUUAUUCCAUGUCCAUCUGGAGCUAGGUUUGCACUGAAGCUUGCAGGUGUGGUUCUUGUUACAAUUGCUGAAUGUUGUUCUGAUUGCUAAAUGUUGUUCUGAUUACUGAAUUUUGUUCCACAGCAAUGAUUUCACUGGUAAACCCCAAAGCCCUUCAUUUUGAAAAGACCAUAAGGCGAGACUAGAGACUGCAAACAAAAUUUCCAGUAGAGGAAAAGCACUGAAACAGAAAUACAAGACCAGAUUGGCAGCCUGAGAGAAGAAACCUGAGGUACCUGAGGGCCUGGACUCAUGGGAGCAUCCCAAAACACUCGUCAGUCCCUUGAGGUGUCUGUUACCCCAACAAGUGCCAGUCCCCGUGAAGCUGGUUCAGAACAAAGCUGCAGAGCAGGUGCUGGAAGGGUCAGGUGAGUAGGGCAGAAGUGACCUGCACUCAAAACUCCUCCCCUUUGUUAUGAAUGUAUAAAUAAAAUGAUGUAAACCCAAACUGCCCGGCCACGCCAAGACCUUUGCUUGGCAAAGCCUUUGCCUUACUUUUGAUGUUAGAUGAACAUCUAGUAAGCUUAAUUAAAGUUUAAUUAGUGUAAGUAGGGUAAAUGUGGUAGGUCAUAAGGCACAGCAGAUGUUAAAAUACUGUUGGCAAUAAUCAACCUGACCAAAAAGAAAAAGGGAAAAUUCCCUUCUUAAAAAAAUAAAUACCUCGAAGUGACUGGUUUAGACAUGUCUUCUCUCACAGGUAGUUUUUUUUUUACUUUCUUUCUCCAGGCAAUACUGACCAACCAGUUGAGAGCAAGUCCUGUUUCUUCACACCAGUGAAAAGAAAAAAAAAAUCAGUUUUUGUCCUUUACUGUGCUCUGGAAUUUCACCCCAAACAUUUUCUGGAGUCUGGGCAUAUGGCACAGGGAGGUGUCUCACUGCUUUCUGCUCUUCUCUUCAGUUGGGAGCCAUGGUGAGGGCUGUGGCUGCACAGCCCAGCUGAGUUUAUUAAAGAUCUGAUAAUAAUUUUUAAAGGCUCUCAGUGAAAUUCAGCAGUGCAUCACCAGUCUGGCUGGCCACUAUUGCUUAAGACGUCCUUGGCAGCUAUGGGUGAUGUUUCCUCAACUUUGAAAGGAAAUUUGGAUUUGAUUUGGGUAUUUUGACCUGCAGGUAUCUGUGUUUAUCUGUAGUGAUCCCUGUUUUUUGUCCUGUUGGGUGCUGGUGGGAGCACAACUGGGCCAUCAAGCCCUGCGGAUGAACCCUUGACCUAUUCUGGGAUGUGCUCUUGGAUCAGGAAUCCCACUCUGGCCACGAGGCUCUGGAAGGAAAGGAAAAGCUGAAGUGCCUGGGGUGCAGGGAAGCAUUUUGCUCUAUUUCCUGCCUUUGCUUAGUGCCACCUGUGUUUCCCCACUGCAGGCGUCACUGGACGUGAUCCCUCUGGAGGUGCUGCCAGACCAUUGAGUGCUCCAUCCCUGCCCUCCAGACACCCUCUUCCUGGAGGAAAGUCCGCAGCUUUGGGUUUAUUCCAUUUUUUCACCCAUGACAAAGCCUAUUUAAUAUCAGGUUUGCUGUGGGUUUGGUCCCACAAACGCCUCUGGGGCAGGUCAGUGCAUCGCCCAAGCCACCACUUGGCUGUGCCUUUGGCGUUUGCAAAAUCUCUGUUGUUCUGCUUGAAUAUCCCUCCCCACCUCAGUCCCAAAUGGUGGGAAGCAUCAGGGAAUGGUAUUGAUAAACAAUAGAUGUCUGGUGAAGACACUGGUGAUUUUCCUGGUACAAAAGGCUGCUGCAUCCUCUGUGAUAAUUCCCCCUUUUUCCCCUCCUUGUUGGCUUUGUGGUUUUGUGAUUUAUUUGUGGGCUGGCAGGCGUCCACAGCCCUGCAGGAAAUGGAUGUCUGCUCUUGUGUUUGGGGGGGCCAUAGAAAUGUGUAAUUUUCCCACUACAUUAAUUACAGACGUUUCUCCCUGGCUGGAACAGCUCCAUGGUUUCUGUGCCCUUUUGGUUUGUUCUCCCCAGCCCAGGCUGAGAGUAUUUAUAGGGAACCCCAGCUCUGACAUCCUCAGCUGAGCUGGGGGAAAGUUAAAGAACAUGGCCACAAAAACUGUAGAGGGGAAACUCUGGCCUUUUUUUACUUGAUAGUAACUCCAGGACAGCAGCAUGGCUGAGUUUUCCCUGGCUAUUCCUCCUGCUGACAUUUUCCUCAAGGAUAAAAGUGGUUUGCCCUAAGAAAACAACCCUCUUGCUAUGGAAAAGAAACUGUAGGGCAAUUUACUUUGGAAUAGCUGUGCUACCUAAUUCCUGGCUCCUGGAGAGAGACCCAGCUAGACUUGGAGCAAAGAAAGGAAACCCGAGGCAAAAUUCAGUGUGGUUGAAUCAGGUUUUGUUGGAGGAAAGGCUGGACAAGCCUCUGUGAGGCCCCAGCCCAGGGUGCCCAGAGAAGCUGUGGCUGCCCCUGGGUCCCUGCAAGUGUCCAAGGCCAGGAUGGAUGGGGCUUGGAGCACCCUGGGAUAGUAGAAGGUGUCCCAGGAGUGUCAGGGGUUGAAACUGGAGGAGCUUUGAGGCCCUUUCAACCCAAACCAGUCUGGGAUUCUAUGGUCUGGGACAGCAGUGGAGUCAAAAUCAUAAUUUCCAGCAGAUUGAAUGCACCUAUGGUGUCCUUUGGCUUGUAACGUGGGUUCUCCAAGGAUUCCUGAUGAAACAGGAAUGCCCUGCUAUGAUUUUUCUUGUUUUUAUCCUGCCAGAAGUGAGAGUGAAGGAUGUGGGAUGUCUGCAAGGACAGGACAAAAACCUGAGCCAGCCUGGUGGCAUGAAACCAGGAGGGAGGUGAGAAUCUGUGAUGGGGACAUCCAGGGGUGCAGAAUUCUGGGAUGUCACCUCCCAUUUGGAGUCAUUGCCUGGCUGUGCUGCUGCUCUGGCUCUGCUGUGAUGUGUCUCAUCCUUUCUGGGGCCAGGAAUGUUCCACCUACAGUUUCUCCCAAGGGUCCCAGCAAACCUUUGAGUAAAUCCAUCCAGAUCCACAUAAAAUUAAGCAUUUUACUGUGUUUGUCCUGCCUCAUCCUCUGUAAGCCUUGAGCACCUUCCAUGACCUCUCUCACAUUUCACUUUUAGAGCGCAGUCCACGUGUGGGCCACGAGCUCCACGGGUCGGUGUGGGCUUGUGCAGGGCUGUUAUUGCAUUCCUGUGGCUGAGGCAGCGGCUUGGGGCUGGGACAGAGCCUUCAGGAGCUGGCUUUUCUUGGGAAAGCACCUGCCUGACCAUGCGCACAGCAUGGCUGGGCCUGGACAUGCAGGCUGCUGUUACCUCUGCACCUGGUCUGGCCUUACUGAGUGGUGGAAGCUGUCCUGGUGAGGGAAGGAUGCUCUGGUGAAAUCUAUUUAAUAGAAUCCCAGAAUGGGAUUGGAGUGGAAGGCACCUUUAACUCAUCCAAUUCCACCCCCUGCCAUGGGCAGGGACACCUUCCCAUGUUGCUCCAAGCCCCAUCCAGCCUGGCCUUGGACACUUUCAGGGACCCAGGGGCAGCCAUAGCUUCUCUGGGCACCCUGGGCCAGGGCCUCACUGCCCUUAGACUAAAGAAUUUCCUUCUAAAUCAUCUCCCCAUGAUUUGAGUUUAGGCUCUAAACACCAUUAGCAGCAACAGGCUCUGUGCACUUCUCUAAAAGCAGCAGCCCCAGCAGCAAUCACUCCCUCCAUGCUCCCAGUGCUGAGCCAGAGGAGCUGCACCCCCUGCCCUCACAGAGUGUAAAUCUUAUCCACUCCCUUUUCCCUGUGGCCGGUGUGGGAGUUUAUUCACCAUUAAAGCCUUUCCUUUCAUGAAUUCACUGCCCUUGUCGGUGACAAGGAGGUGCUGCUGUGAUGCUGACAUAGCCAAACACCAUUCCGGGCACUGCAGGGGGGAAGGGAAAUCAGGGCAGGUGUAAAAGUGGGCCAGGCAUGGCACAAAAUAGAGGAGGACAAGUGUGCUCUGCUUCCAGAGGCUGGGGGAAGGUGCUGAGCAGGAACUGCAGCAGGACAUCAUGGGUGGUGGAGGGAGCCAGAGGAAGGUGCCGUGUUUUGUCCUCUCUGCAGGGAGCUGAGGGCCAGCAUGGAUUGGCCAGGAACUGGGUCAGGAUGAAAAAGGAUGAAGCAAACAGAACUGAAGUCCUCCAGCAAGGCCCUUCUCCCCCUGCCAAGCCUGUGCUGAUGCCCUGGGGCUCUUCCCUGCUCCAGCAGCCUCCUGCCAGCCCCUCAGGGAGCUGGAUGCUCCUGCAGCCUCCCUGGUGAGGGCACACAGGGGUGUGCAUGGCACAGCAGCACCCUCUGGGCACUUCCCAGCUGAGUGCCCCGCAGCAGCAUCUCCAUCCCAGCUGGGCUGGGGCAUCUCCUGUGCCCUUCCAGUGUCCUUGGCACACCCCUUGGCACGGCUGGUGGAGGGGAGGCAACGUCCAUGUGGCCACCUCGGCUGGGAGAUGAGUCAAGAGAACCCCGACUGCUGCUGGUGUUUGGUCACAGCUGCUCUGGGCACCCUGUGCCAGGGCCUGCCCACCCUCCUAGGGAACAAUCCCUUCCCAGUCUCCCAUCCAGCCCUACCCUCUGGCAGUGGGAGUCAUUCCCUGUGUCCUGUCCCUCCAUCCCUUGUCCCCAGUCCCUCUCCAGCUCUCCUGGAGCCCCUUCAGGCCCUGGAAGAGACCCUGAGCUCUCCCUGGAGCCUUCUCCUCUCCAGGUGAGCACCCUCAGCUCUGCCAGCCAGACUCACUGAGCAUCCUUGUGGCCUCCUCUGGACUCUGCUCCAAACCUGUUGGUACCAACCACUAAAUAGAGGAAAUAUUGCACUAGAUUGCCCUAGGCUCCCAUCAGGUCUGGCAAUCUGUUUUUCUUUAAGUGGGGGGGAAGAAAAGAAAGAAGACUCGCGCGCGCGCACACACACACACACACACACACACACGCUGAGAGCUACAACAAGCUGAAGUGUUUUCCUCCUGAAGAGCCCUUCCUCCCGGGAGCAGAGCAGGAGUCAAGCAGUGCUCUGCCUCCUCCAGAAGGCACUCAGCCCAUCACCUCCGUGCUCAAGGGUUCCUGGAAGCCAGGGCUGUUCGGGGACAGCAUGGGGAGGGCACUGCCAUCCUCCCAGCCGGGAUCGGGGCUGGGCAGCAGCGCCGGGGGUCUGCGGUCUGUCAGGGGCAUGCCCUCCACUAGGCGAGAAAUGCCAAGGAGAAUUAGGGAGAUGGCUGGAGGCUUGGAGUGCAAUGGGAAGCAACUGCUGUUCCCAGGCAGGCUGUGACUACCCAGCCUUGCUAAUCAGAUUUUGGGGGAUGCUCAGCUGCUCUUGCUGUAGGGAGCUCAGGGUGUGUUUUGGUGACAGGGUCUGUGUUCCAGUGGGGAAGGAGGAUGCUUCUGAUUCAAUGCCCAGAGAACUGGUUUUGUUGGUGGAACAGGGGAAAAGGCCAUUUGGAAAACUGUGCAUCCCCAUCACGGCUCUCUGCAGGUCAUUUGAAGCACUCCAGGCAAGGCUGGGUGCCCCCUGAGGGUGCCCAAAGCUAGCCUUACCCCGGCAGCUCUGCUGGCUGGGGUGACCCUGCUGCCAGAGCCGUGGGCACUUGGGCACUGUGAGCCUCAGCGUGUCAGUGCCAGCAGGAAAACCAACCACAUCCAGCACCAUCCCUCCAUCUUCACCCAGCUGGCUCCAGCCCUGCCCCCUGUUCCCAAAGCACCCUUUUGAUGCCAGGAACUGCAGUUCAGGGAUCAGUCCCUGAGCCAAGGGAAGCGGGGAUCCUUCCAACAAGGCUUUAAUUAGCAAAGGCUCAUGUGAUUUUGGUUUUUUUUUUCAUAGUUUGCUCCGUGGCGAUUCCAGCGAGGAAUAAAAGUUUACUUCCAUUCCCCAGCGCUCAGGGAAAGCAGCUUCCGUCAGCACUGCCUGUGCUCUCGGCUGUGCUGGAUAUGGCAGAUCUAUUUUUAGAAGCCAGGGUUGCCAUGGCAACCCAGUGUAUUUUUUCUGUUAAAUAUAGCAGCUGUUGCAGGGAACUCUUGUCCUUCUGGAUGUAAAGGCUGUGUUUCUGCCCUCUGACAGAGCUCAGGGUAUUAGAGGCAGAUGAGAAAGGAUGAUUAAAUAAGUGGAAGCCCAGAAAAAACCGAGGAUCUGUAAUUACACGGAGGGGUUUGGGAUGCAGCCGUGUGUGUCUGCAGCUUCUGCAUUGAAAAUGGUGUGGGGACAGGGAUAGGGGAGCUUUUCCAUGUGGGGCUCCAUGAAAGCACCCUGCCCCUCUCUCUCCAGAUGCCCAGCCUGCCUGGCUUUGGCUGUUCUGGUCUCUGCCCCUUCCAGGAGCCAGCCUGGUCCUGGCUGGGAGGGGAUGUGGGGGUGCCAAACAGGCCAUGCCAUCCGAGGGGAGGAAGGAGCCUUUUCCGGGGAAAAAAAAGCAGUUUAAUUCCUACCUGCACCUCAGGAGCCUGAAGCAGAGGUGUGUGGUGCAGGAUUGGGGCCUGGAGCUGCCUCCAUCUCCUGCUGGUGAUGGACACCUCAGUGGAAGCAGUGGGAGAGGUGCAGGUCCCAUCUCCUGCAGGGCUGGGCCAGGGCUGCAGGUGGGAAUGCUGUGGGACUGUGUUGCAUCCUAAAGCAGUUACAUUCCCCAGCUUUGGGGUUCAGUGGGGAGCAAACUGACUCUGCUUCUUUAGUUUUUAAUUUUAUUUGUUUUAAAUAUCCUGGAUCCCUGUAAGGUGCCAACACAUCCCAUCAAAGGGCUGGUUUCCAUCUCCUGGGGGGAGGGAGAAGGGGAGGAGUGGGGAGCAGGAUUGCUCAGCCAAGGGCAGCCUGUCAGCUGGGAGAUGGAGAUCUUUUUUUUAAUUAACUAGUCUUUGCCCCAUUAAACGAAGAAAGAAACCAGAGCACAGCAGAUAUGAGCAGGGCUUAGGAUCACUGAAAGUUUCCUUAAAAAGUGGAUGCAAUGACAAAGAACCAAAUUUAAACCAGCUUGAGUUUAAAGUAUCUGUGGAGGUCACUGUGACCAAGGCUUUGAGCAGGAAUAACACAUUUCUGGGAGCCUUAUCUGCGCCCUGAGCUAUCGUGAGUGGCAUCUAUUGCUGGGGAUGUUAUUGCUUUUCUGAAUUUAAUAGCAGAAGCAGUGCUUAAGCAAGCAGAAAGCUGCAGGGGAAGAGCUGCCUCUGCGGCCGUCAGGGGCUGGAGUUCACCCUGGGCCUGGUCCCCUGCAGGGUGGUUUGGAGGUAUGGGGCAUUUUGAAGAGUCAGGGGUUUAGGAGGAUGGAGGAUGGAGUCAGAUGCUGCCUGUCCCCCUGGAGCUGGAGCCUGCUUGAGCAUCCUCUAGCCGAGGGCAUAAAGACGGGGCUCAUCCCUGAGGAGGUGCUGCCCAUAACAAAGGAAGGAAAGGCUGCCAUAUCACAUUUGAAGAUUUCCUUGUAUCCUUCAGGGAAUGGGUUGACAGGGGCUUGUGGCCCAGAAAAUGUAGCUGGCAGCUGGGAGGGAGGUUCAGGGCAAUAAUUUCAGAUGCUGCUUUGGUUUAAAUCCAGCACGGGGUGGAGGGAGGGCAGUGGAGUGGGCACAGCUCCAAAAGCUGUUUGUACAUGGAAUGGUUUGGGUUGGAAGGGCCUCUAAAGAACACACAGUUCCACCCCCUGGCAUGGGCAGGGACACCUUCCUCUAUCCCAGGGUGCUCCAAGUCACAUUAGCCACAUCCCCAGUGCCAGGCAGGUGGGUCACAGGCUUCAUCUCCUCUCUGUGCUCACAGGACACCAGUCAUCCCACUGGUCCCACCGUGCUGGUGCCAGAGGCAGAGUUUCCCCAGGAAUGGGUAUUUAAUAAAACUCCUGCCUCUGCUCAUAAGCCCACUCCCCUGUGUAUUCAGGGAUGACAGGGGUGUUUAUGCUUCCUGCUUUCCCUGGACUGAUUUAUGGGUUUAUUGUAAUCCCUGCAUUGUGUGGCUGCCCCUCUCCAGGCACCAUGGGGCAGGCAGCAGUCCUGGGAGGAUUUCCCUUUCUCCCUGAGCAUUGGCUGCUCCACCCCUCAGCCUUUUGCAGGGACUUGUGUGAGGGAGGACCAUGGCAGCAUCACACUCCACCUGGGACAGUGGAAGGGGGUUGGAACAAGAUGGGAUUUAAGGUCUCUUCCAAGCCAAACCAUUCUGGGAUUCUCUGAUCCUGUGAUCCAGCCCUGAAGCACUGAAGGCUGCAGCCAGACACAGAGCUCAUCCCUGAGGAUGAGGAAGGGAGCUUGGAGCACCCAGUGUAGCAAAAAGAUGCAUCAGCACCUUCUCCCAGCUGCAGGAGAAGGAAGGAGUGCUGGGAGUUCCUUCCCCACAAGUGCAGAAGUAAGAGGAGACAGGAUCUCAAAACCUCCAGAAAUGUGUCCCAGAUCCCCCCUGUUACCAGGUCUGUACCUAACUGGGAAGAAUGUUGUGAGGAUGAUGCUCCCACCCACCAUCCCUGCCAAAGUCACUGCAAGGGCUGUUCUGGAAGUUCUGUUCUGACAUGGAGUGUUUUCAAUAUCAUUUUUUCUCCUGGGAAA